rnacentral:rRNA from 1 species
CUCCCGGNNGUUANANGCGGACGGGUGAGUAACACGUGGGUAACCUGCCUGUAAGACUGGGAUAACUCCGGGAAACCGGAGCUAAUACCGGAUAGUUCCUUGAACCGCAUGGUUCAAGGAUGAAAGACGGUUUCGGCUGUCACUUACAGAUGGACCCGCGGCGCAUUAGCUAGUUGGUGGGGUAAUGGCUCACCAAGGCGACGAUGCGUAGCCGACCUGAGAGGGUGAUCGGCCACACUGGGACUGAGACACGGCCCAGACUCCUACGGGAGGCAGCAGUAGGGAAUCUUCCGCAAUGGACGAAAGUCUGACGGAGCAACGCCGCGUGAGUGAUGAAGGUUUUCGGAUCGUAAAGCUCUGUUGUUAGGGAAGAACAAGUGCGAGAGUAACUGCUCGCACCUUGACGGUACCUAACCAGAAAGCCACGGCUAACUACGUGCCAGCAGCCGCGGUAAUACGUAGGUGGCAAGCGUUGUCCGGAAUUAUUGGGCGUAAAGGGCUCGCAGGCGGUUUCUUAAGUCUGAUGUGAAAGCCCCCGGCUCAACCGGGGAGGGUCAUUGGAAACUGGGAAACUUGAGUGCAGAAGAGGAGAGUGGAAUUCCACGUGUAGCGGUGAAAUGCGUAGAGAUGUGGAGGAACACCAGUGGCGAAGGCGACUCUCUGGUCUGUAACUGACGCUGAGGAGCGAAAGCGUGGGGAGCGAACAGGAUUAGAUACCCUGGUAGUCCACGCCGUAAACGAUGAGUGCUAAGUGUUANGGGGUUUCCGCCCCUUAGUGCUGCAGCUAACGCAUUAAGCACUCCGCCUGGGGAGUACGGUCGCAAGACUGAAACUCAAAGGAANUUGACGGGGGCCCGCACAAGCGGUGGAGCAUGUGGUUUAANUUCGAAGCAACGCGAAGAANCCUUACCAGGUCUUGNNAUCNUCUGACAACCCUAGAGAUAGGGCUUUCCCNUUNNGGGACANNAGUGANNAGGNGGNNCAUGGNUG